CAGUUGCUAAAUAAAUUCUAGGUGUAAAAUGUUGGAAGUAUUUAUUAUUUAGGAGGCACAUUAUUUCAGCUGGCCAAUUGUCAAAUCAAGUUUUCACCUUCAUGGAAAAUUCUGCUUCCCAUGAGGAAGGUAUUGUCAACCGGGAUUGGGGAAGGCUCCUCUUUCUGAAGCCAUGGCAAACCACUGACAGCUGCAGUAGACAAUACCAAGCUGAACAGACCAUUUUGAUUCAUUUAUAAGACUUGUUUCUAUGUUCAUAAUCAAGCCAGAAAGAUGUCAGGCAAGCUAGUAACUCUCACGUGAUUUCCCCCUCCCCUACUCCCCAAAUUCCAAAUGUACUAAACAGAGACGAGCUGACAGUUGUUAAAACAACAUAUUGUUCUGGAGCAGUAUUAAGUCUUCAAUCUGACCUAUACGGGCUGCCAGUUUCUGGCAUGAUAAUGUUUGAACCUACCUGCAUGUCACCCAGGCUAUUAAUGGGAGAACCCCAAUAGUGGUCAUUUGUUUUUUCUGUUUUUACUUUUUUGUAGCUUUAUUCCUAGAGGAAAGGUAGAAAAGUUGUGUGUGAUCAGCUUUAAGAACUGCCAGAGCUGCAGAAUCCCUGUUCACACUGAGGUUCGGGGUAGUGCCAUUAUGCAUCUAGACAUUGGUUCUUAUUUGACCAAAUCAACUGGAGAGAGCCAAACUUGAAGAGGAGUACAAAAGAUGCUUGAGACGAGGUCUACAAGCAUUUCUGCCAGAACGUUUUACUUGCUUCCAGUGUGAUUUCCAUUAAUUUACCUUGUUCAUAGGCUAAAAGGCACCUUAGGCAUGAAGAGCACAGCAUGCUCUUCAGCCGCAUUGUAGAGCCAGUUCGUCAUUCAAGAAAAUGAAAAGAUCACCUUAAGCUGCUGCUUUGAAGUUUCACUGAUGUGUUUUCCCCCUAACACAUUUCCUCCCACGUGGAAAAAGCUUGCCAAAAGCAAUCCCAGGAGAGUAAAAUAUGAUUUGGCUAACUGAGAUGCAUCUGACUGUCAGAGAUUGUCAGCAGAUCAAAUGGUAGGCAGGUCAGGUUGUUUUUCCACAGAAAUUUUGCUUUAAGAAGCCAUGUUUUCCAGCUUAAUUAUGCUAUUCAUUUAUUUCAAUGGUAAUAUCUAGGGGAGAUGUUAGUAUGGUUGUAAUUUUUUCUUGUUUUAUCUUUUUGUAAACUGGACCAUAGAAACUGAGCACAUGAUUGAAAAACUACACUGAGGAUUAUUAUAAUCUCCUGUAGUGAAAUAGGUGAAAAUUUUAUUAAGACCAAGUGUGCAGUACUUAGUAUGUUGAUAUAAGUACACCAGCUUUUCUGAGUCAAUACACCAUUUAUACUUUACAUGGUCUGGUUUCAAUAAUAAGAUUAUAAUUAUUCCUAUUUUGUAUGCCUUAUGGAUGCCCUGGUGACCUUUCCCCCUCGCUGAAUCUGUUCUUUUGACUACAUUGACCUGAAGGCCUCUUGAAAAAAACAACUUUGUGACACACACACCAGUUCUUAUGACUUUCCUACGCAUAUUUGGGAUUUCAUCCUCAGCUCCAGAAAUUGCCACCGGCUAUCUAUGAUAUUUUGCUUGCUGUGGAAAUAAAUGUUUCUCUGUGUGGUUCAUUAUUUCAUUCCUUUAACAGCUUGAUCAGCUCUUUCAAAGCAGAUCGCUUUAUUUACAGCCUUCUGAUUUUCCAGGAUUCAGCAGUACUUAGGUCAAAUUUUGUACCAUCCAAAGAACCCUUGGUUAUAGGUCUCAGGUUAUUUUUGUUUUGUCUUUGUUCCACUUUAAAUGAAGGUUUCUAGGUGGUUGGAAUCAUACAGAAAAAAAAAGAAAUGCAUAAAAUCCAUGAUAGAAAUUAGUCAAAAUAUCAGAAAAAUAUAUAACAAUGAACAAAAUAAAAUACUGGAGAGGAAAAGAAAAUCAAGCAGAGGUCAGGCCACUGACAAUUAAACCAUGCUGAGAAUAAUAGCUCUGUGAGAGGAAUAGGGGUCUCCUAACAAUUCUCAGUACCUUUAACAAAUUGCAGUUUGCAGGAUUAUUUGGAUUAAAGUGGUAUAAUACUGAUUUAAACAUAUAGUGCAGAUGGGUCCUAUGCCUAUUUAUGUUUUGUGCUUUGGAGGGUGGAAAUUCUGUGACCUCUGUUGAUCUUCAUAGAAUUGUAGAGUUGGAAAGGGCCAUCUAGUCCAACCCCCUGCAAUUCAGGAAUAUUUUUGCCCAAUGUGGGACUAGUGUCAGCGGUGCUUUUUUUCUGGGGGGACGCAGUGGUAUGCAUACCCCUAAACAUUUUGUGAAUCUAAGUUUGGCCUCACUGAUGGGCAGUAUUUCAAUAUGAGUAGGAAAAUGAGAGUACUCCUAAACAAUUUUUUUAAAGAAAAAAAAGCAUUGGGUGUCAAUAUGAAACUGUCAAAAUCUGAGGUGUUGUGCAGGACUGUUUAGCAGUAGCUGAUUGGUGACAAGUUCUGAAACGGGAGAGAGAGACUAUUGUUUUUAAUGGGUCUUUAGACAGUUCUUGGAUCAGGUAAAUUCAUUUUGAUUGCUCUGGGAAACGGCAGACUGAUAAACUGGAGGUUCUGGUUAGUGAAGAAUGGGCACUUAGCUGUCAAGAAAAAUAACUACCAGUUGGGAAAAGGCAUUGGGAAAAUCAGUUGAUGAAGGAGGUGUGAGGCAAAGGCUAGAGAGCUGCAGUCAAGGUGGAUAGCAGAGAGGGUAUUCAUCCUUGGUGUGUAAACAAUAUAUUGCUAGUGAAGAUCAGAGGAAGGGUUGGACCAAGAGUCUGCCCUGUGUAAAGGUCUUAACAGAAGAAUGUUACACAAGUGGGGGGUUGUUGUUUUAAAAAAGUUAGCUAAAGUGUCCAAGCGGCCAGCAGUAAUAUUGAAUCAGAGUUGGAAGGUACCGAAGGGCCAUCUUGUCUCACCCCCUGCAAUGCAGGAAUCUCUUCUAAAGCAUUCAUGACAAAUGACCAUCAAGCCUCUGCUUAAAAACCUCCAAGGAACUUCAGAGGGAGUCUGUUCUGCUGUCAAACAACUGGAGGAGCCUCGAGACUGUCGCUGUCAGAGGAUUAAACUUCCAUUGGUUAAAUCAUCAAACCCCCCUUGGAAGCAGGAGAAGAGGGGGGAAACUUAAGAUUGUGUAAGCCUGCAGGAGAGAGUGAAGAAAGUCAAAUUACCACCGCUCUGAACCUGGAAACGGACUGCUAGCAAGAUUGAAGUUUCGGAUAUGCUCAUUGACUGUGAAUAGAUCGUCUGCUGACAGUAAGUUAAAGAAGAGAAAUACAUUGUUUCCAUUGUCUCCUUCUGCGUUUAAAAAGGAGUAAAAGUAACUGAAAAUUGAAACUAAUUUUAUUGUUUGAACUGUGCUUAAAAGGAUUGAUACAAAUAGAAAUUGUUUCCCCUAGAGGAAGCCUUUGAAAUUGUUACAAGAGCUGAGCUGGGGAAUUUUCCAUCUGCAAGAUAAAACUGUGAGAAUCUGGGAUUGACCUUGAAUCGUUAAGAAUGUUGACAGGAGAAGCCUUAGUGGUUGCAUUUUGUAAGAUUAAUGAUUCACUGGAACAGCUUUAUAAGAAGACGGAUGCGAGGACUAUAAAAACUGAUAACUUGGAACAAAAAGUGACUAAUUUGGCACAAAAAGUCAAUAUUAAUACAGAAAUUAUUCAGGAAUCGAUACAGGGAUCUAUUUUGACAUGGCAAAUCGAGGAGAAGGGGGGGGGAGAAAGUUUUUGUUGUGGAACCUAAAGUGGUACAAGUGGUGAGGGAGAGAGCCCCAGCUUUACAGUUGCAAUUUGAUGAUUAUAAGUUGAUGCCUUCCAAGACUGAAUUUAGAGAAAGUCAGACUUUUAGGAUUGGAGCCCCGCUUGGAUUGGAGAAAGAAAGUUGGAUAGAUCCCCUCAUGCAGGGGUUUAUUGACCUUUGGGACCUGGACUUGGGUCAGGAGGAGACUGGAGUUGUGGGGACUGCCAGACUUGGAGGAACUCUGAAACACGACUGGAAAUAUAUUUUGAAUUUCAGUUCCAACUAUGGAGAUUUGGCUGACUUGUCGAAAAGGAAUAACAACAUUGCUAGAUGGGAAUUUCCCGGAGAUCUACUUUUCAGCAUCAAAGGAAGGAAAAUAAGAACAAGAUCAGGAGAAGACAAAGUAAAGUGCGUGUAUAAACAUGAAGAAGACUUGCAGAAGGGACCUGGAAAAGAGUUAAGAGCCUCGGACAGAAGAUCACCAGGUUGAUGGGCUUUAUGGAAUUGACGGAAAUGACUGGCAGAACCUGAGACCAGGGAGAUGAGAUGGUGGAAGAAUAUUGGAAAAAGUUUAAAAUUUAUAUAUGGAAAUAAUGUAAAAUUAAUGAGUGUUAGAAAAAUGUUGGAAGGGAAUUAUACGGCUUUAGUAGAAAUAUUUUAAGGAAUUAAGUAUAAAUUAGUAUUAAUGG